CCCGUGGGCGGCCUCCGCGGGCCCGAGGCAGCGGCGGGCAGAGGGAGCUCUUCCUCCUGGGGGUGCGGACAGCGCCGUGAAGCAGAAAAAGGGAGUACGGUAUAAUGGACCUGCGAAACGAAGAGCUUUAUUUACAGAUCUAAACAGCUGCUGGGUAAUUGUAUAGGGUUGACUGCAGUUUCAUCUAGCAGGAAUCCUCUUCAUGUCCAACCUAUGAGUAUUCUCAGUACCUUUUCGACAAGCUGAUUCCCAAGCUAGCCAGCUUUACCUUAGGCUAUAAAAGGCUGUGCAGUUAAAGGCUUCAGCUCUCAGCAGACCCAGGUAGGAACUACGUUCAGUUUACUGAGAAAACAUUGAGGUCCUAAAGAAAGUGAAAUGGGCAGGUGGAGUUCUUGAGUGCUGAUUACCACAGCUACUCUUUCGAUUAGUAGACUGCUGUCACUUUUAAAAUUUCUUAUAGUGUUCUAAUCAGUCUGAUAACGUCAUACACGUUUCAGCUUAACAUGAUUCAUAGACCACAGGCGUGAGUGCUGCUGUGUAGAAUCGUGCUCUUCAUGUGCCUGAAACUGUCAUUUGUCUGCAAACAUCUGCGAGUAUUUGAUAGUUAUAUUGUAAUUUACAUACUUAGCAGACUUUUCAUGAAUAUAUGGAGUGUUGCAGGAUUGGAGCUGCUGUUAUUGCCAAAGAAUGUGGAUGUGAACGGCUUCUUCCUUCCAUUUGUUGAGCGUUCUACUUCAAGCUGUUCAGUGUGAGACUUGAUGAGUUUGUACUACUGGUACUGAAUGUAGGGUUUACUGAUAAUGUUUGAGGAUUUAGGUAAUUAAGAUGGAAAAAUUAGCAAUUGUACCUACACUAUCUUUCAUUUCACUGAAUGUUUUGUGAGCUCGAUACAAUGCCAAAUGCAUAUUAGGAAAUUGAAAGCUUUAGAAGCAUUGUUUUGUUUCGCUUUGUAACUUUUGUCCAAAUAGUAAAUACACAGUGCCCGUGUGGAAUGAUUUCUCUGCAGACUCGGCGUUACCAGUAGCUAGCAUUUAGAUUGUGAUACUUGUUUGCUUUAGAUACCUGAUCCUCUUAAAAACUUCUCAUCAAGUUAUGUCAUACCAUGUUUCAUUGUCUCUACCGGCUGCUGUUAGUGCCUGUAUCUGAAUGAUACCUUACAAAAGUGGACAGCGUGAACUGUGGGUUGUCUUUUGCCAGCGCACCUUAAUUUCAGAGCUUAACAGGAUGGAUGUUGGUUGUUAGAAUUGUGGUCUUGAAGUUUGUGGCUGUCACUCGUCUACUUAGUGGCGUUAUGGCAGCACAGAAGGCAUUCCGCAUGAAAAACGAUUCCUUAAAGGUUAAUUACAGAUACAGGGAAGUAAUGCAUUUGGGACGUAAUCGUGUUCCAGGCGUCAUCAUCUUCUAAAAUGAUCUGUGCCUUAUUUAUACAGUAGAUUAAUCACUGCUUCUUUGUGCCGUUGUGAUAAUGAAGGCCAUAAUGUCUGUCUGCUUUUCUGAGAGACUGUUUUAUUUCUGUUCAAGGACCUAAGUAAUUCCGAAGAAUGGUCACAGUAGAAAUGCAAGGGAGGAAUAUUAAUCCUUUCUACUCUUGAAGAGCUGCCUGCAGCGUGUCACGUAGCUUUGAUAUCAUGUUUGGUGCCCAUCUUGCUUGGUACUGCUCUGAAAUCGAAUCUUUCAGAUGAGAUUUUGGUUUCACUGAGCAGCAUGUGCAUUUAUGGCCAUGUCUACAGUGUGAUCUUUCAGGAAAUUUCAAGAAACUGGGAAAAAAAGUUGGGUUCGGGAUUCUUGACUACAGAAUACUCGGCAGAGAUCAUUGAGGAGUUCAGGUUGUUUUUCCCAGCACUUUGAUAAAUUAGACACGUUGUAGGUGGAGGAAGUAAAGCAGGUAUUUUCAAACUGAUACGAGGUUUAAUCAAGCUUUGAUGAUUCCAGCUGCUGUUUGCCAUCCCAUCAAUAUGAUCACCAGCUACUGAUGCCCAAAUCAGCCUUUUUUGUAGGGAAAGCAUUGGGUAUAUUUCUGGUAAACUAGUAUUUGUAUGUAAUGGGCGUGUUAGCAUGCAUGACAAUACUAUAGAUGGCUCUAACAAAAUGAUAGCUAUGCAUUACAUCAGUUAUGAAGGUUCAUGCAUGUAAAACGUUACUAGUAUGUAUUAUCAAAGAAAUAUUUCAGCCUGAUUUCAAGGGGAAAAAAUAUUUUAAAUACAGAUAUGAUUGUGGUGCCUCCAGAUAUUUAAAGGGCUGGAUUGCCGUGCUUGACCUAAACAGUCUGGAAGUAGGGUGCUUUAUUGUAAUGUUUUGUUGAUACAUAGUGGUGUGGAAGAAAUGAAACUAUGAAUACAAUUUUAAGGUGUACACGAGCGCACGCAGACCACUGCAUUAACUUAAUUUAAAAACAAAAGCAAACGAAACCACCGGUAGAGUCUUCUCAGGUAUUCGUUAUU